UGACGCUUGACUUGCUGGGUAAUUUUGCCGUAAAGUUUGCAGAAUGCUGCUCCCAUCCCACUCAAUCAUAUGAGUGAUGACGCUUUCUGUCUCGAAAGCUUAACUCACGGCAUGCCAUGAGAAACACAAACGCUCAUCCUGUGCAGUCCACUCUCAGAACAGAAGGACAAACUCAUUUGUCUCUCGCCCAUGCAAUCUCCAAGGGUCGUCUCCAUUCCAGCUCGGCUCCGCGCUGGGAUUAGAUCAGACCGCUGAAACAACACACUGCAGACGAGACACACGCACCACCAUCCAGAGACUUUCAAUGAAUCAGAGACUUCAUUUAACGUCCGUUUGCCUGAACGAUAAAACGACAAAAAGCCAAAGAGAUCUGGACCCACCGGAUGACUUCCACAGCAGACUAACUUCCAGUCGACCGGAGCGCCGCAUCAUUUUUGGAAGGCGAUAGAGGAUUCCAUUGUUCCACUGGUUCCCCCUGCGAGCGCGUCAGCUGCUUGAGGGGAAGCCCAUUGUGAGCCUUGGUUCUGCUGUGACAGGACGGUGUGCCUUCUCUAGACACACUGUCACUGCUGCUACACAAACAGACAGAUGGACAUUAGGGGAGCGAACAGGUGGGUGUCAAAUAGCAGGACACAAUACUUUUGAGCUAGGAAGGCCAAAAAGGUUGUGAGACCCAGAAAGGUGAAAAAAGGCAUCUUUGUUCAUUCUGGUUAGGUAUACUGACUAUUAUUUACAGUGAAGUGAGUGAAAUCCCACAGAAUGCAGACGCUACACUACAAACGAUAGGUUAAAGGAUUAGUUGACUUCAGAAUUAAAAUUUCCUGAUAAUUUACUCACCCCCAUGUCAUCCAAGAUGGUUAUGUCUUUCUUUCUUCAGUUGAAAAGAAAUUAAGGUUUUUGAGGAAAACAUUCCAGGAUUUUUCUCCAUAUAGUGGACUUCAACAGUUAACGGGUUGAAGGUCCAAACUGCAAUUUCAGUGCAGCUUCAAAGGGCUCUACAUGAUCCCAGACGAGGAAUAAGGGUCUUAUCUAGCAAAACGAUCUGUAAUUUUCUAAAAAAAAAUUAUAUAAUUUUUUAACCACAAAUGCUCAUCUUGCGAUGUGCCACGCAUUAUGUGAUCACGCUGGUCAUGUAGGCGUAAAAAUCUUGGAUGGCAUGGGGGUGAGUAAAUUAUCAUGAAAUUUUAAUUCUGAAGUGAACGAAUCCUUUAAUAGGCAGAAUAAAGCAUUGAAGAUUCAUUAAGUCAUUAUGACCAUUAGAAAACUCCAUUACAACUACAUUACAGGUGGUAAAAAAAUAAAAGAAGGAAACUGUCAGUGACCACAUUUUCCCCCUUUUCAUAAUUCUUUUGUAUGGACUUUGGAUAUAUGCAAAUGAACAGUAUAUUAUAAUAUUUCAAGUGAAAUGGUUGCAUCCCAGUGUUAUUUUAGUGUUAUUUAUAUAAUGUUCUAGUAUUUUUUUUUUUUUUUUUUUCAAUUUUAAGUUUUAGUAAUUUAGUUUUUUUUUUUAAAAUGUAAUUUCUAUUUAACAUUAAUUUAUUUUUAUAUCAGUUUUAUAAUUUAAUUUUUUAAUAGUUUUACAAUUGUGUGAUUUCAGUACUUUAAACUUAUUUGGCAACAUUUCUAAUUUUACGUUUUUCAACUAAUAUUUCUAUUUUAUUUUCUCUCAGCUUUAUUUUGUUUACCAGUUUUGUUUAGUUAAAGGGGUGGCUGAUUAUGAUUUCACUUUUUUAACUUUAGUUAGUGUGUAAUGUUGCUGUUUGAGCAUAAACAUCUGCAAAGUUACGACGCUCAAAGUUCAAUGCAACGGGAGAUAUUUUCUUUUACAGAAAUCGGCACAAACGGCUACAACAAACGGCUGGUAGGGACUACAACGAGCUUCUUCCCGGGUUAGUGACAUCACUAACCCUAAAAUUUACAUAAACCCCUCCCCCGAGAACACACAACAAAGUGGGUGAGGCCAUGUUGGGCUGCUUUAGAGAAGAGGAAGAGUUGUUGUAAUAGAGUGUUGUUAACAUGCCGUCAUUUUACGCCGGACUGCUUCACAAACGAGGGUCAAUUCAACGCUGGAUUUGCACAAAAGAUUAACAUGACGGCACAUGCUAGUCGAUGAGUUGAAUCAACUCCACAGCAACUACAUAAAUUUAUCCACUAACCAUUCAGAAACGUCCAGUUUCAUUCUAAAUGUUGUAACUUCUUCCUGAGUCUCUCCAUCAGUGUCGACUCCGGUUUGAACAAUGUAAGGCUGAACACCGUUACAGACAAUCCUCGUUUUGUCUGCGUGAGAUUCUCCAGCUUUGUUGUUGUUGAGCGACCGAAGCGCGAGCUGUUAAAGCUCCGCGCUCUUCUGGAAAGAGGGCCGAGAGGCAUAUUCUUGCUGUCUUUUUUUAGACUUAUAUAAACUGCAAAAUAUGAUCUUGACUGCUCAUUUCACAC